rnacentral:rRNA from 2 species
AACGCUGGCGGCGUGCCUAAUACAUGCAAGUCGAACGAACUCUGGUAUUGAUUGGUGCUUGCAUCAUGAUUUACAUUUGAGUGAGUGGCGAACUGGUGAGUAACACGUGGGAAACCUGCCCAGAAGCGGGGGAUAACACCUGGAAACAGAUGCUAAUACCGCAUAACAACUUGGACCGCAUGGUCCGAGUUUGAAAGAUGGCUUCGGCUAUCACUUUUGGAUGGUCCCGCGGCGUAUUAGCUAGAUGGUGGGGUAACGGCUCACCAUGGCAAUGAUACGUAGCCGACCUGAGAGGGUAAUCGGCCACAUUGGGACUGAGACACGGCCCAAACUCCUACGGGAGGCAGCAGUAGGGAAUCUUCCACAAUGGACGAAAGUCUGAUGGAGCAACGCCGCGUGAGUGAAGAAGGGUUUCGGCUCGUAAAACUCUGUUGUUAAAGAAGAACAUAUCUGAGAGUAACUGUUCAGGUAUUGACGGUAUUUAACCAGAAAGCCACGGCUAACUA